rnacentral:snoRNA from 1 species
CUGCAAGUAUCCUUACUGUUCUGACUGUAUAAUCGUCAUGGCAGGCUGUAAUAAGACCAUACAAUGUCCUCGGACCUAGAUCUGGUCUUACACUUGAUGGUGAUAAAU